AGUCGCGACCUUUUGUCUUCUCUUACAGCGCACCCGUUGGUGCGCGGGAAUAGGUGUGCAUGCCCCGGCCUGGGCCUUUUUCUGUUGACCCACGGCAUCACCUUAGCAAGGGUGUUGUCCUUUUCAGUCCAUUCCCUGAAGCGCAGAACCGGAGGCCUUGUGAGAACCUGGCUUUUUGUCCAGUCCUGUCCUCAGAACUCAAGGAGGCAUCACGGGGGGAGUCAUUUACCUCCCUGGUCUCAGGUGUCUCUCACAGACUAUGAAAAUGAUGUUAGACAAAAAGCAAAUUCGAGCAAUUUUCUUAUUCGAGUUCAAAAUGGGUCGUAAAGCAGCAGAAACAACUCGCAACAUCAACAAUGCAUUUGGCCCAGGAACUGCUAACGAACGUACAGUGCAGUGGUGGUUCAAGAAGUUUUGCAAAGGAGAUGAGAGCCUUGAAGAUGAGGAGCGUAGUGGC
rnacentral:lncRNA from 10 species